rnacentral:rRNA from 1 species
GCGACCAGCGACCGCGGCCUGUCGGUGGCAGAGGCCAUGUCUCGCGUCAGGGCGAAUGGCAAAACGGCGUUCAUCCCGUACAUCACCGCCGGCGACCCCGACCUGGCGACCACGGCGGAGGCGCUCAGGCUCCUCGACAGCCUCGGCGCCGACGUCAUCGAGCUCGGCUUGCCCUUCUCGGACCCCUCUGCCGACGGGCCAGUGAUUCAGGCAUCCGCUGCCCGUGCGUUGGCUGCUGGCGCGACCACGGACACCAUGAUGUCGAUGCUCAAGGAGGUGACGCCGGAGCUGUCCUGCCCCGUGGUCAUCUUCUCUUACUUCAACCCCAUUGUACGCCGUGGGGCAGGGAGUUUCGCUGCGGCUGCCAAAGAAGCCGGUGUCAAAGGCAUUAUCAUACCCGACCUUCCAUACGAGGAGAUGCAUGCUUUCAGGAAAAAAGCCAUCAAGAACAAUCUAGAGCUGAUCCUCCUUACAACGCCAGCUACACCAUUAGAGAGGAUGAAAGAAAUCACAAAAGCUUCGGAAGGGUUUGUUUACCUUGUAAGUGUUGUUGGAGUUACAGGAGCUAGGGCGAACGUAAACCCAUGUGUCAAGGAUCUUCUUCAGGAGAUUAGACAGGUCACAGACAAGGCAGUGGCGGUUGGCUUUGGCAUAUCGACCCCGGAACAUGUUAGCCAGAUUGCCGAGUGGGGUUCAGAUGGAGUGAUCAUUGGUAGUGCAAUGGUGAAACAAUUGGGUGAAGCAAACUCUCCAGGAGAAGGAUUAGAGAGGCUAGAAGUAUAUGCCAAGAGUUUGAAGAAUGCACUCCCAUGA